rnacentral:rRNA from 1 species
CGGGAAUCUUCCGCAAUGGACGAAAGUCUGACGGAGCAACGCCGCGUGAGUGAAGAAGGUUUUCGGAUCGUAAAACUCUGUUGUCAGAGAAGAACAAGUUGGAGAGUAACUGCUCCAGCCUUGACGGUAUCUGACCAGAAAGCCACGGCUAACUACGUGCCUGCAGCCGCGGUAAUACGUAGGUGGCAAGCGUUGUCCGGAUUUAUUGGGCGUAAAGCGAGCGCAGGCGGUUCCUUAAGUCUGAUGUGAAAGCCCACGGCUCAACCGUGGAAGGUCAUUGGAAACUGGGGAACUUGAGUGCAGAAGAGGAGAGUGGAAUUCCAUGUGUAGCGGUGAAAUGCGUAGAUAUAUGGAGGAACACCAGUGGCGAAGGCGACUCUCUGGUCUGUAACUGACGCUGAGGCUCGAAAGCGUGGGGAGCAAAC